AACGAACGCUGGCGGCAUGCCUAACACAUGCAAGUCGAACGAGACCUUCGGGUCUAGUGGCGCACGGGUGCGUAACGCGUGGGAACCUGCCCUUAGGUUCGGAAUAACUCCCCGAAAGGGGUGCUAAUACCGGAUAAUGUCUUCGGACCAAAAAUUUAUCGCCUUUGGAUGGGCCCGCGUUGGAUUAGCUAGUUGUUAGGGUAAAAGACUACCAAGGGCACGAUCCAUAGCUGGUCUGAGAGGAUGAUCAGCCACACUGGGACUGAGACACGGCCCAGACUCCUACGGGAGGCAGCAGUGGGGAAUAUUGGACAAUGGGCGAAAGCCUGAUCCAGCAAUGCCGCGUGAGUGAUGAAGGCCUUAGGGUUGUAAAGCUCUUUUACCCGGGAUGAUAAUGACAGUACCGGGAGAAUAAGCCCCGGCUAACUCCGUG
rnacentral:rRNA from 1 species